AGACUGCCUUUCCCUUCGUAUUGCAGAUGGCGCGCCAUGCGCUACAGAUUUUAAGCACAUUAUUCGUUCCUAACCAUGACUCUUCUAAAAAGACCCAUUAAAGAUAGUUGACAUGUUAAUGUAAUAAUGAAUUAAUUAUUAAAGAUGACCGGACAUAUCGAGUCAGAAAAGAAGCGUUUACUAUCAUUAAAAAGAAAAAAGGAAGCGUUUAAAGUUAAAGAACAGCUUAUUCAUGAUGCAUUAAAAAAUUUGGAUAAAAGAAAAGCAGAUAAUAAGAUCGUGUUCGAUGAUGGGAUUGCCAGUGAAAAAGAGAAGGGAAAACGUAAGAUCUUGUUUGAUAAUGAAGAUGACGACGAUGAAGAGGUUACUUGGAACGAUGAUAAAUUCAAAACGAAGAGAAAUGUAGACGAGAAGUACAUCAAAUUACAAGGAAGUAUUGGUAAUGACUCUCGGUUUACUUUGGACAAUCGUUUUAUCGAAGAAAAUGUAAGGGAUAAAGGGGAUAUAGAAGAAGUCGGCAAAGGUGAUUCACAAAAUGAAAGAGAAUGGCAAUUUAAUAUACUAGAAGACGUUUUGGGUGGACCAAUUGCGACAAAGCUUAAAAAUGAAGAAACAGUCAAAAAAUUUGCAAUGAUACGAUAUGACCCAACGGAGGAGAAACACAAACAAUACGAACUUAGAACGGAAGAAAUUAAGUCUAAUGCAAAGAUCAAAAGGAAAAAGAAAAAAAUAGAAAUUGAAGUAGAAACUAAGAAAGAUGAAAUGGUUGUAGUAUCAAAGGAUAUAUAUUAUUCGGUGUCGGAUUCAUUGACCAAGAGUUUACAAGAUCGUCAACAAGGAGAAUUUAGUUUAUUGAAGGCAUAUGGAAAGGACGUGGACGAGACUGAUAAAAGAGACGUAGGGAGAAUUAACGAAGAAAUGGCCGAAAAGCAAAAGUCGUUUUUAAAUUUCGACUUGGCAAAUCCGUUUAAAUACGAUUCGUCGGACGACGAAAAUGGUAUUAAUUUAGAUGUUCAACGUUUAAUAGAUCAGAGAGAAGAGAAAGAAUCAAAUCGUUUAUUUGUAAAAGAUAACGAUAAUUUGUUCUUUACAAGGAAUGAUAGGCGCUUCGAAGAUGCUUUAAAUUUCUUUAAAAAGGAAUUUGUGGCGGAUAACGGAUUUACAAAUUUGAGACGUGAAUUAAAACAAAUCGUACGUGCAAAAGUUCGUAAGAAUGUUAGAAAGACGGAAAAAUGGGGAAGUAGAAAGAAAAAUAUAAGAAAACCGUCGUAAAAGAGAGGAACUGUAUAAUAUUUAUCGAUAAUAUUUACCUGUUAAAGGACGUAUAUUAAGAAAUUAUGCCUUUGUCCGAUGAAAGUGCACUAACCAACGACAUUACCGAAGAAAAUAUCAAAGAGACAAGUUUCGAUCACGAGGUACGAUUAAAUUUAUUAACGACAACCAAACUCGAAAUUUAUUCUAAAAUUAUUCGUUAAAAUGUGUUAAUAGAAAAUUGAAUUAAACGAAAAUAUAAGCGAUUCUUGGACGGUAAUCGUAAAGGCGAUAACGCAUCGUGGAACGCAAACAUUAAUACAAUGCGAUCCUAAUUUGACGAAGGAAGAAUUUAUCAAAAGAAUUGUUAAAACGAAAUUGUAAAAUAAUAUAUCUACGGAACAAACUUCCUCGUAUUUAUAUAUUUUUUUUCUAUUGAGUAUUAUUGAAUAUACGCCAUCGAGCAAAUUUUGACGUAUUACGAAGAGAAUCAAGGACGAAUAUAUAUCCUAAGAUAUAUAGGAGUAAGACGAUCAAAUCGCGGCGGCGGGGGGGGGUGGGGGGAGGGGAGGCAAGUGAAAGAGCGGAAGUAGAUGUGACUGGCUCGGACGAGGGAUACAACUCUGGUUUCUUUUUUUUCUUUUUUUUUCUUUUUUUUCUUUUUUUUCUUUUUUUUCUUUUUUUUCUUUUUUUCGAACGAAAUUGAGAAAUUAGCGGAUUAAGAAAGGAAGAAAAAGAAUAUAUCUGCGCAAUCGCGCGACGUCCAUAGGAGCGCAGAGACGGAGACUUACCUACAUAAUUGAAUCUUCUCGAGAGACGCAAAUUUGGCGUGGUUGCGAUAAAAUUUAUUGCCGCAGAAAGUAGAGCGUAGCACGUGCUUCGAUCGAGCGUACGAGACUUAGUGAGCAAACUGAAAAUUGAUCACGUUCGUCGUUUAUCGUUAAUCCACCGUUGGCUUAUUUAUUAUAUGACUAUGGGGAUGGAGAAAAAACUUUCGAUCGAUGCGACGUAACACGAAGAAAAUGAAAAGUCUUCUUGAAACUCAAAAACGCGUCGUUAUUAGAUUAACCUUUUUAAGAACGUGUGCAGUUCUAUGUGCACUCACUUUUAUAUGGUAGCGCCCGAUAGAUCCUUCCUUUUAUGUUUAUUCAUGUAGGAAACGACGAAGUUUUGGCAAGAUCGUUAUCGUGCGAACGAAAAGCGAGCAUGUCUGUUACGUGUUCCAGCUGUUUUUCAUGAGCUUGCAAUGGUGCAUUUUUUUUCUUUUUUCUUCUCUUUCUUUCUUUCUUUUUUUUUUUUUUUAUUUUAUUUUUUUGUUAAUCCUUACCUCUUCACAAAUUGUGUAAAGCGUUCUUUUUUUAAUCUCUUAUUUACAAUCGAGAAUAUAUUUAAAUGAAUUUCAAAGCAUAAUUAAUAUAAAUGUUUUUAUGUAAAUAUUUAACGAUUUCAUAAAAACAAAAAUGCCAUAAAUUACUUUUUGCUCAUUUUCUGAGGAUACCUCGUUUGCUAAUUGUUUUUUUAGUUUUUUUUAUUAAAUACUUUUUUCAUUAUAUAACACUAAUUUCUAAGAUAUAACUAUAAGCUUAUUUCCUUCGAUUCCCUCGGCCAUCGACAAUAACUUGUUUCUUUCAUAGAUUUUAAAUGAUCAUUCAUUGCUUGAAGGGUCUUUUGUUAGAAGGAGCUGGUAACCUGUAUUUUUCUAAUUCCACUUCCGCUUCUGCGAAUGAAUCUAAGUGAUAACAAAAGUACUCUGGAUUUUUAUACUCUUUAUCUUUGGAUGCACCUGGUCCCACUGCUAAAACAAGAGAGGAGCCUUUCAAGAGAGGAGCCCUCCAAGAGAGGAGCCCUCCAAGAGAGGAGGAGUCCUUUUAUAAAUAACGAAUAUUGAAAACGUUUCAUUUCUUACGUUUUGUAGGAAGUUUGUAACAUUUAUCGCUAAGUCCUGGUACAUUUGCAUUUAUACUUUGUUGCUUUUGAUUACAUAAAGAACGAUGUGCAUUGAAUGUUCCAAGGUAGACCAAUGAGACAUUCUGAAAUAGAAUCAUCAUGACAAAUGUUUGCUAAGGAAGAAGCGUUGUGUUACAAUUACUAAACGAACCUUCCCCUUUUUAUUCCAACAUGAUAUAAUAUUAAUAUUUAGGCGAUGAGACACGCCAUUUGAUGAAUAUUUUCUUUAAAUACACGCGCAUAGUAUUCAUAUAUGUGUUUAAAUUUUAUUUACGUUAAAAAAAAUGACAAUACGAUGAAUUGAAAUUCAUUGUAAAAGAUAUUAUGCCACUUCGUUUUAAUAAGAUUUAAAUGAAUUAUAAGAAAUGAAAAAUCUACGCAUGUAGAUAAUCACCUUUGGUAAAGUCUUCUUAACGAUUAGAUGCAACAUUUUGUCUCUUCUAGGAAAUCGAGAUAAAUAUAGAUUCGUAUAAAUGAUUGUAUGCUUUCAUAACAGGUCCAAAAUUGUUGUCUUCUCCUUCGGCCUAGGUAAACUCAUUUUUAUUUGACAUGCGUAAAUCGGCCAAGCUAUUUUAUUCGUACAUUGCUCCUCAUUGGUGCAUACUUUUCUAAAGGAAGUAUUCGAUUGGUCGAUGUUAUGUAAUGCCCUUCCGUAUGGUGGAUUCUCCAGUUGCGCUAUCAUUAGUGAGAAGAUUCCUUGGAAUUGUUGGAUGCAAGUUUCUUCUUAGUCUUUUAAUCAUAUAAUUGAACUAAAACAAGAGUAAUUGUAUCAUUCGAAACAGUGCCACGAUGUCCGAAUACAGUCUGAAAAAAUAUAACUACAAUUCUCAGACCGAAGGAAAGGAGCCCUUUCAGAAAUUGAUAGGACUAGGAAAAUUUGCUUAUUUAGGUGCUGCCUUCACAUCCGCAUAUGAGAUUUGCUUGGUACGACGACCACCAAAUUUACGAAUGGGCCUUGUUCAGGGUGGAAAACACUUUUUCGUUUGGUUGGGUGCAUCUGCAACGUUUACAACCGCAGUACUGUGUUUAACAAAUAUCAGAAAAAAGGAUGAUCCAUGGAAUUAUUUUUUUGGCACAUUAGCUAGCGGAGCUUUUACUUAUUCUUUCAUUCGGAGAGGCCAUUUCGUAUUCUUUGUGACUAUGUAUGCAGCCAUUGGAGCAGCAAUAUUUAAAUAUAAGCUUAUGCAAGGUUAUAAACCAUUAGAAUACGACUUUAAAUUUCGAAUUUCAUCGUUUCACCUUAAUUUUGAUAAAACACCCGAUGUAAGGUACGAGAAACCAUAAUUAUUUAUUCGUAAAAUGAAAAGUUAUUGCGUUACAAUAAUUAAAAAAAAUGCGUUUGACUGGUCCAUAAGAUCAGUGUUUUAAGUAAUAUUCAUGGGGAUAUAUAUAUAUAUAUAUAUACACAUAUAUAUACACAGAUAUAUAUAUAUAUAUAUAUAUGUAUUAUUUGAAGUAGUAAAAAUCUGUAAAUUCUCCACGCGUAUCCUUGUGCAUAAAUGUACACCGUAGGCGUGAGAUCCAUAAUAAAAGAUAUCGACAAUGGA